AAACACAAUGGCAGCCCAUGUAAAACACCUGGAUGAACGGAAUUAACCAAGUGGCCUCUGCCCUUUUGUUUUUGGUUGGGGCGACCAUGGGGAAACAAACAUCCCCCACGUGGAAUGGGGCCCUCCCCCCUAAAGCCAGAGCCACAGCUCUAGCUAACAGAAUAUCUGACCUUCAAGAUCCGGCAAAGCCGAUCAACGGACCGAGUUACCCUAGGGAUAACAGCGCAAUCCCCUUUUAGAGCCCAUAUCGACAAGGGGGUUUACGACCUCGAUGUUGGAUCAGGACAUCCUAAUGGUGCAGCCGCUAUUAAG
rnacentral:rRNA from 1 species